UACGAAGGGGACUAGCGUUGUUCGGAAUCACUGGGCGUAAAGCGCACGUAGGCGGCUUGUUAAGUCAGGGGUGAAAUCCUGGAGCUCAACUCCAGAACUGCCUUUGAUACUGGCGAGCUUGAGUUCGGGAGAGGUGAGUGGAACUGCGAGUGUAGAGGUGAAAUUCGUAGAUAUUCGCAAGAACACCAGUGGCGAAGGCGGCUCACUGGCCCGAUACUGACGCUGAGGUGCGAAAGCGUGGGGAGCAAACAGG
rnacentral:rRNA from 1 species